UGGUUACCUAUGACUUGACUUUUGGCUAC
rnacentral:piRNA from 1 species